UCAUAGUUUUUCACUUUAUGGGGUUUCGGUCACCGUUGAGUUUUAUAGGGUUACAAUGGGUAUUAUCGGCAGGUUUGUUCUCUUCGUCAUGGGGGGUUUUUGUCAGCCAAGUUGCCUGAAACUUGGCCAUAUAAUUCAGCUUAGUUGGGAAGGAUUUGAGACCAACUCUGAGCUCAAUAGGUUUCAAAAAAAAAACCCUUAGACGAAGAGAACAAAACGGCCGAGAAUAGGUAAUUUCCCCUAUUUCUUGUAUGUUGAUUUUUUUCGGUUUUCACCGAAAAAAAUCAACAAACAAGAAAUAUGUCAUAGUUUUUGUUGAAAAAAAAAAAACAACAACAAUCAUUAUAACCUCUUUUCGAGAAAGGGAAAUUUUUAAGCUUGGGUUUAAAACGGUUUUAUUGCUAUUCUUAAUGCGGUUUGGAAAAACUUUGCGAGAGUGGUCCACUUGCUCUUAAAGUGGAUAUCAAGAGGUUUUGAUGUAUAAAUCAGUUUUUUUGCAAGUUUUGUACAAUCUUCUAUAUAUAUAUAUAAAUGCAGUGGCAUACGUGGGACCGCGCAUAACUUGCGAACGGAAAGUCCGAUUUUGGUCGGCUUAGUUUUGUUCUGUUAGUUUUCACCCAAGGAAGGUUUAUGAGCCAAAAAACAUGGAAAAAUUGAGAGUUUCUCCAAUACAUUUUGACCGGAGAUUUGGCCUUGGUUAGAGACUUGAAACGUCAAAAAACGCAGUAGGCAAGACAAAGUUUGCCGGGGUCAGCUAGUUAAUCAUAAAGAUCUCUUAUAGAGCUAAACAAAACCUUAUAUGUUACUUGAGUUUUGUUCAGUUUAACGCAAAAUGCGUCACUAUUGCAAAUUAUUUGUUUUCAUAUCUUCUUUAAUUAUUUCUCAGUGUAUCCUUGCACUCAUGUUUUUGUUUUCAUUCAUGCUGGAAUCACUAAAUUCCACAAAUAAACUAACGUAAAAGUUAUAGCCAGCAAUUCAAUAACAAAGCAAUGUACAGGGUAACAAGCGAAAGGGUAUCUUCUGAUAUUUAUAGCGUCAACACGGAAAGUUUUGACCUUUAAGGUUGCUUUUAAUGUCACCAGAAAUUCUUGCAAUUUUUAAAACAUAUACUUUUCACUUGAGAAAUACUAUAAAUUAUGUAGUCGAUCAAAAAAGCAUGGGCUUAAAAAAAGUUGGAUGGGCUUUAGCAUGAAAGCUUUUUGGCUGAUGCCGCUUGAAAACUAAUCACAACGCCUUUCUAGUUUGUUUUAUACAUUCAGCCUUAAGAGAUUCAGCCUUCUAUAAAUUCAGCCUUAGGUGUUUCAGUAUUUCGUAGGUAAUCCGACUAAAGAUUUCAAAAUUCGUGCAUCCCACUCAGAAUUAUAACAGAAUUCUACUCAGGAUAGUGAAUCCUGCUAAGGAUUCUGAGUGAAUCGUGCUUUAGGGUUUUGAGUGAAUCCUGUUGGUGAUUCUGACUGAAUUCUGCUCAGAAUGCUGAAUAAUUCCUGCUCAGGAAACUGAGUUAAUCUUGUUCGCCUACGAUACAUCCCGAUCAGUUAGCUCACGAUGUCGAUUGUGACCCACAAAUAUCGAUGAUGGCCACUACACCCUGAUGAUGUUGCAUCCAUUUUGAAAAGGUCGUUGCAGUGUUGUGUGACAGUGUAGCAAAAGAAGAUUUCCCAGAAUUAUUAUAUAUUAGCAAACAGCAGGCAUGAAAACUCUAGCUCUCCUCCCAUGGUCAAAUCAGGAGAAAUUAUUCAUGACAGUAGACGGUAGACAAUACAAUCCCUGAAGAAGGCCACAACAAAAAGGCCGAAACGUCGGAACAGUAUACAAUACUCGUCUUGACUUAAUGACUGAGAAAGCCAAUCCUAAAAAGUCGAUCAAUAUCCAGUCGAAAUCGCCAUUGCAAGUUCAGGAUAAUGAGUGAAUUCUGCUCAGGAUCAUGACUGGAGCCGGCCUUCUGAUUCUGAGUGAAUCAUGCUCAGAAUUCUGACUUAAUCCUGGCCAGGAUACUGAUUGAAUCCUGCACAGGAUGCCGACUGAAUCCUGCUCAGGAUUAUGAGUUAAUUUUGCUCAGCAUUUUGGCUGAAUCCUACUAAGUAUUCUGAGUGCAUCUCGCUCAAGAUUCUGACUGAAUCCUGCUCAGGAUAAUGAGUGAAUUGUUUCAGGAUUAUGACUGAAUCGUGCUCAGAAUUCUGAGUGAAUUCCACUCCGGAUUCUGAGUGAAUCCUAGUGAAGAUUCUGAGUAUAUGCUGGUCAGGAUACCGACUGAACCCUGCUCAGGAUUAUGAGUGAAUUCUUUUCAGGAUUAUGACUUAACCCUGCUCAUGAUUCUGAAUGAAUCCCACUCAGAAUUCUGACUGAAUCCCGCUCAGGGUUUUUAGUGAAUCCUUUUCGGCAUUCUGGGUGAAUCUUGCUCUACAUUCUGAGUGAAUUUUGCUUAGGUUUUUGAGUGAAUCCUGCUCAGGAGUCUGAGUGAACUCGGCUAAAAUUUUGAGUGAAUCCUGCUCGGUUCUGAAUGAAUCUUGCUCAAAAAUCUGAGAGAUUUUUACUCAGGAUUCUGAAUGGAUCUUGCUCAGGAUUGAUUCUGAGUGUACUCUGCUCAGCAUUUUGAAAGAAUACUUUGAGUGAAUUGUUUCAGGAUUAUGACUGAAUCGUGCUCAGAAUUCUGAGUGAAUUCCACUCCGGAUUCUGAGUGAAUCCUAGUGAAGAUUCUGAGUAUAUGCUGGUCAGGAUACCGACUGAACCCUGCUCAGGAUUAUGAGUGAAUUCUUUUCAGGAUUAUGACUUAACCCUGCUCAUGAUUCUGAAUGAAUCCCACUCAGAAUUCUGACUGAAUCCCGCUCAGGGUUUUUAGUGAAUCCUUUUCGGCAUUCUGGGUGAAUCUUGCUCUACAUUCUGAGUGAAUUUUGCUUAGGUUUUUGAGUGAAUCCUGCUCAGGAGUCUGAGUGAACUCGGCUAAAAUUUUGAGUGAAUCCUGCUCGGUUCUGAAUGAAUCUUGCUCAAAAAUCUGAGAGAUUUUUACUCAGGAUUCUGAAUGGAUCUUGCUCAGGAUUGAUUCUGAGUGUACUCUGCUCAGCAUUUUGAAAGAAUACUGCUCAUUCUGGGUGAAUCCAUCUCAGGAUUCUGAGAAUCCUGUGCAGGAAUGAAUUCUUCCGAGGAUUCUGAAUGAAUCCUGCACAAAAUUCUAUAUAAAUCUGGCCCAGGACUUUGAAUAUACCCUUACCAGGAUUCAGAUUUCUGAAUUAAUCCUGCCAAGGAUUUCGAAGAAACAAAGAAUUUGAAUAAGUCUUGCUCAGGAUUCCGAAAUAAUCUUGCUCAGGAUUAGUGAGCCCUAUUCAGGAUUUCAUUUUAAAGUAAUCCUGCGCAAAAUACUUAGGAUACAAAGUGAAUUCUGCUCAAGAUUCUGAGUGUACUUGCCUCUGGAUUUCAAGUGAGUCCUAUUCAGGAUUUCAUUUCAGGUGAAUCCGGCUCAUUACUUCUUUUCAAGUGAAUCCAGCACAUGAUUUUAUGGGAAUCCUGCUCAGGAUUAAAUGUGAGUCCUCCUCAAAAUUGUAAGAAAAUCCUACUCAGGAUGCCAAAUGCCAAAUGAACCAAGUAAAACAUGCCCUGCGUUCUGGCUGAAUUCAGUUUAGGAUUAAGAAAGACUUCAGUUCAAUACAAUGCUUCAGAUAAGUGUUUCCACUGAAAACCUCAAUCAAAUCAGCGCCCUGCAGCAAUACCCCAUUAAAUAUACUUACCGCAAAGUUGGAAACGGUCAAUUUCCCCGCGAAAUAAAACAAAACACGAUAAAAUGAAACACUUCAAUAAUCGUAAAAACAAAUUCGCCGUAAAAAUGGAGAAAAGCUCUAUUGAAAAGGAGUGCUAAAAGCAACGAACGAAUGCGGAAGAUAAAGUACAUCUUUCACCGGAAAAAUCCGAAAAUUGUUUGGAUACCUCUACUAUUGCGGUACUCAUUUCUUGCGGUUCACAUCAUUUGCGCGGGCUAUGCGGAGCCAAUACCCGAAAUGGAAUUGCCCCUGUUUUGCGGAAACGGCGAGAUUUAUUGACUCAAUCUGAAGGAAAACAGAGACAGAAAAAACCUUAUAUAGGUACGUGAAACCGUAUUACCACCACGCGCGAAGUACCAUUCUCUCGUCAAAUGCGAUUGCAUGCGUUCGGGCAAUAUCCUUACUGAAGCGAACUGAUCACAUCACAAACCAAAGGAUACAAAUGGCGUGAUACAGGGAGAGAGAGAGAGGGGUAAAGCGGCAGUUAAAUCAGUAUCCUGAAUCGCGUGUGACCAGCGUUUCUACGCGAAUGAAGUUCGACUCGUACCUACCCAAGUGGGGAGGAGAAUCUGUAACAACAUAAAAUUAUCAUAAUGGAGUCCUCUGUGCUGGAGUUGUUUUUUUUUGCCGAUAGGGAGGCCGGAGGAUCAUUAUUUAGAAACAACGCGGGAACCGCACGGUUGUACAUAAAGUUGCACGAUGUUGGAUGUGUAACUGCAAUUGGUUUUGGUUUUGGCCUUAUGCCCGGGAAGGGAAAUGGGAAUCGGGUACAUACGGGUGAAUUAAUGAGAGCUUUUUGCUAUUUGUACACAUGUGUUGUUUUGUAAUUGUGUCGCAUACAUACAGGAAGGUACACUAUACAUUGUUUGAAGCGGAUUUCAUAAAUGCCAGCUAAGUAUUUAUGAAGGACGAAAAGUUCACUUGGAUUAGAACUUGGAGCAUAUUUUGUGAAAAUUUUAAGCAGGAGUCCUGAACAGAAUUACGUCUCAAUUCUGCGCAAAUUACUUUUGGUAUUCUAAGCAAAAUUUCGUUAAUUGUGUGAUCCAGUUUUUGUAGGAAUCCUGGAUGGAAUUCACUUAGAAAACUAUGCAGAACUUUCCAGAUACCUGCGCAGGAUUCACUCAAAGCCCUACACAGGUUUCAUCCUGAAUCCUCAGCAGGAUUCACUCAGAAUCUUGAGUGAGGUUCACUCAAAUUCUACAGCAUAAUUCACUCAGAAUCCUGAUCAGCAUUCACUCAGACUGCUGAUCAGGAUUUAUUUUAAAUCCUGGGAAAGGUUUUCUCAGAAUCCUGGGCAGAGUUCACCAAGAAUCCUGGGCAGAGUUCUCCUAGAAUCCUGGGCAGGAUUCUACUAGAAUCUUGGGCAGGAUUCUCCUAGAAUCCUGGGCAGGAUUCUCCUAGAAUCCUGGGCAGAGUUCUCCUAGAAUCCUGGGCAGGAUUCUCCUAGAAUCCUGGGCAGGAUUCUCCUAAAAUCCUGGGCAGGAUUCUCCUAGAAUCCUGGGCAGGAUUCCCCUAGAAUCCUGGGCAGGAUUCUCCUAGAAUCCUGGGCAGGAUUCGCCUAAAAUCAUGAGCAGGAUUCGCCUAAAAUCCUGAGCAAGAUUCGCCUAGAAUCCUGAGCAGGAUUCUCCUAGAAUC